AUGAUGCUUCCUAACUGUCCUCCACACCAUCCGCUCAGCUCAGUUUUUCAUGCUGCACUCUGCUCUGUGUACUUGGGACAACAGCUGUUUGCAUAUCACCAUGUAACAUAUACUUGUGUUGUUCUAAGCAUCCAUAUUUUGCUAUCUUUUGUGACCUUGAGAAUGAUUGUACAGACAAGUGUUAUUGUUGUCCACCUGUCCCAAGUGAGGUAUACAACUUAACACCUUGUCCAGUCACAUAUUGUUAACAAGUGAUAGAGACAGAUUCAGAUCUGAACACCCAGAUAUUAUACCUUACAACACUGUGAAAUUCUGCCUCCCAUAGGGUAACAGUUCAAAUAGGAAUGAUGAUAUUCUAAAGACACACCUGUGUCCUUAACACACCCCGGCUAUUGAAUUGUUGAAAUAACAGUCCCCAGGAAACAUGAAUUUCUCUGGGGAAUCUUGUAUUGGGAGAAGGCAAAGAUUAAAGCUUGGUAUCAGCCAGAAAAGGAGCUUGGCUCCCAGAAAAAGAUUUCACACAACUCAGACAAUUUGUCAGGAUGAGACCAGAAUAAAUGAAGGAAAUCAUGGGGCCAUGAGAAAGAAAAGGAGUCCCUCAUCUUGGGAGCUGGCUGAAGCCUUUCAUCAGCAAAGAAGCCAAAAUUCUAGCAUGACUAACAGCUGCUGUGGUCCUUUCUCUCUUCCAGCUGCAAGCCUACAGUUUUCCAGGAAUUUCACCCAGAAAUCCCAUGUACAGCCACGAACCCUGAACUGGCCUGAAUCGAGGUCCCUAAAGGAUGAAGAAAACUCAUCAGGCUGUCAAGAGUGACUUUGGGGUAACCUGAAUCCAUCUUUGAGUUCCAUCUGUUGCAGAUUUGGAAAUAUGGAAGGUGUUUGGGGAAACGCCGAAGAGCAUGUGUCUUGGAACAGCAGAGUCCUCCUUGCUCAUAGCCUCUCUGGGAUCACCCUAUUUUCCUCCCAGCAUCCUUUGCAUCUUCUACAGCUGUUUUCUAUUUAAUCUGGUGUUUGCCAUUGUUGUCCACAGAAUGGUUUGCCAACACAAGCUGUUCCCCUAUUGGAGGCUGGAACCUGUGAUUUAAUUCAAAAGACAGAUGGAGCUCAGACUCUACAUCAGAGUCUUAACUGAGACCAUCUGGGUGUGCAUCCCUGCCUGCCAUGCUUGGCUCUGAGGUCCUGGCCACUCUUUCUUAAUUCUGAUAUCCUCAGCUGCAAAAUAGAGGGAUGGUUAUCUGGAAGACACAAAAGUCUCCCCGAAGAUGGAGUAAAUGGGUGCAUGUGCAUCUCCUAGGGUACAUCUCCUAGGAUGGCAGUGCUGCAUUGGUGACUAACUCCUGCCCAUCACCAUCCCUGGGGCAAGCUCUUCUUUUCUACUACAAACAAAAAACAACAGCAAAGCCUGUCUCUGUCUUUACCUGCUCUUCUAACUGAAUUCUGGAACAAGAGACUGGUUAAUUAUCACAUUAAAGUUAUUCCUAU
rnacentral:lncRNA from 1 species